AAAGAAUCAAUUAAAAAAAUACAACAAUUAGUUAAUUAACUAUUGGUAAUUAAUUAUUUUGUUUGGUAUUUCGAACAAGGGAAAGAAAUUGUACUUUUCUGAUGUGGUGGUAUAAGUUGAAUUAGCCCCCUUUAUGCUUUGUAGGUUACCGCUUUAAAGUUUGAAGCUAACAAUUGAUAACUAUAAAAUCUAUUUUCAUAAGCGAUUCCCUGGCAGAGUGGUUAGACUUAAGGAGGGCUGGCAGAGUGGUUAGACUUAAGGUGGGCUGGCAGAGUGGUUAGACUUAAGGUGGGCUGGCAGAGUGGUUAGACUUAAGGUGGGCUGGCAGAGUGGUUAGACUUAAGGAGGGCUGGAAGAGUGGUUAGACUUAAGGAGGGCUGGCAGAGUGGUUAGACUUAAGGAGGGCUGGCAGAGUGGUUAGACUUAAGGAGGGCUGGCAGAGUGGUUAGACUUAAGGAGGGCUGGAAGAGUGGUUAGACUUAAGGAGGCUGAUGAGGCCUUAGCCCUCGAGUUGGAAUUCAUGUCGUUCACCUUUUUUCUUUAUAAAUGCAUUUAAAAAGCGAUCACCACCCUACCCUCAACUGGUCCAGACAAGUGAUUAUAGCGCAGUGAGAAAGCUAUAUAUUACAGACGUUACUUUAAAAAAAGCGCGAAGAUGUAUUAUUGUUAGUCUAGAUCUAUUACAACUUUGAAUACAUGACUGAUCCAAACUAAUUGAUACAACUACACUCAAUAUAAGUUUGUUUUUUUAAAGUGUUUUUUUAAAAUGUUUUUCUUAUUAUAUUUCAAUCUUAUUCAGGUUUCAAUUACCACUGCAUCGAAUAAAUGUCGAGUGAAUUUCCCCUUUUUAUUUCCAUAUAAACUUUCCGAAAGCACUCAAUACCUUUAGUAUUUAUCUAAGAAGUGGGAAAAGACUAUUAUUUCCAUCUAAAUACACACUAGCACGUGACCGCACAUUUGGCGGAGUUACUAAACCAAGUGACACCAGCACUGAUGCAAGAAGCAGACGACAAAAUCACUGGUCACGAGUGACUCUGUUUGCCCUUUCUAUUAGAAUAGUAGAACAUACACCGGGGAAAAAAAAGGACAAGUUUGAUUUGAUUCACAUUUAGGUAUUUUAUUGAGAGGUGAAAGAAGAAAUAGGCACUGGAAAACAUGGCACAAACUGCAUUGAAAAAGGGAAUAAAAAACAAAAACAACAACAAAUAAAAAAAAGUGUUUGUGUUUUCAGAUGAACUCAUAGGGGCCUCUAUGGAACAGCUGUUUGAUUGUUUUGAGCUUUGCAAGUGCUGCUGUGGUCUAUGUAAUUCUGGCCAGUAGAUCAGGUUUGGUUCCUUUGUCUGAAGCAAUAUCUCUGAGAGUGCAAUGUUCAUCUUGAGAAGCUCAGUGUAAACCUUUCUUCAACACAAAGAUCAAAUCCUUUGAAAUGUGGUGGGUAUCAAGGAAUCAUGUCAAGAUUUAUCCCUUACUCAUCAGUUUCUAGUUUUCCAUCAUAAAAGAGAUUGUUGGGCAGCGAGAGGAUUUCAGGAUGCAUUCUGUACUGCCUGGUCAGCAUCAUGAUUGGAGAGCUCUGGGAUGGAUUUUCAUGGAACUUUUCAAAACAAAGAUUCAACCUUUCAAACAGAGAUCUGCUCAACUCUAGCUCAUUGGCUUUCUAAAACAAAAUGUUAACAAAUAGUGACAUGGGAGGUUAUUACUUUUAAAAUAUUUUAAUUUCUUUUAAUUCUGACAAAACAAUUGUAUCAAUAGUCUUAUUUUCUUAAGCACAGCAAAAUACUCUGUCGAUGAACAUUAAGCUUGUAACUAUUAUUCUAUUUUUUUCCUUCUCAAUUUACAGCAAUUAAACUAAAAAGUUGACAGUAAUGUUUUUAAGAAAACUAUCUUUGUUUU